rnacentral:ribozyme from 11 species
GAAAGAAAGCCAGACGUAGAAAAAAACAGGAAAAAGUGGAGGAAACUCAAGUGUUCCGUCGUCUUUGGUCUUUGUCUGCUCUUUUUUUUUUUC